GAUGCAAGUGCAGGAGGGUUGCAUUUGGGCCGCUGCAACCCGCUUGUGUUGUGUGGUCUGUUGUAUGUACCUCCCUUUUCAGCCCCAGGGUGACACUAUCACCCAUACCUGGAAGCUUAAACGUGUCUCUUCCACAGGUACUGCGGUGUAUCUUCCCAAGUGGCGUUGAUGUGAGGAGACACAACAUUUCUCCCGAUGUUCUAUGGGCUACCUACUGAUGAUGUGGACCUGACCCUCCGCCAUGUAGCAGACAACCACCUCAGGUACUGCGGUGUAUCUUCCCAAGUGGCGUUGAUGUGAGGAGACACGACAUUUCUCCCGAUGUUCUAUGGGCUACCUACUGAUGAUGUGGACCUGACCCUCCGCCAUGUAGCAGACAACCACCUCAGGUACUGCGGUGUAUCUUCCCAAGUGGCGUUGAUGUGAGGAGACACGACAUUUCUCCCGAUGUUCUAUGGGCUACCUACUGAUGAUGUGGACCUGACCCUCCGCCAUGUAGCAGACAACCACCUCAGGUACUGCGGUGUAUCUUCCCAAGUGGCGUUGAUGUGAGGAGACACGACAUUUCUCCCGAUGUUCUAUGGGCUACCUACUGAUGAUGUGGACCUGACCCUCCGCCAUGUAGCAGACAACCACCUCAGGUACUGCGGUGUAUCUUCCCAAGUGGCGUUGAUGUGAGGAGACACGACAUUUCUCCCGAUGUUCUAUGGGCUACCUACUGAUGAUGUGGACCUGACCCUCCGCCAUGUAGCAGACAACCACCUCAGGUACUGCGGUGUAUCUUCCCAAGUGGCGUUGAUGUGAGGAGACACGACAUUUCUCCCGAUGUUCUAUGGGCUACCUACUGAUGAUGUGGACCUGACCCUCCGCCAUGUAGCAGACAACCACCUCAGGUGAGAUGCAAUUGACCAACAAAACUCACUUGUCCUAAAUCAC